GAAGCCCAAAGAAAAACAAACAAAGUUUCUAGCAAUCUGCUAGGAAGGUUCUGCAUAAAUAAUUGACGGAAUAACUGGCUCCACUCCGGCGUAAUUAGCCGGAAUUCACAGUAUAGAAUCCCUUCGCCAAGAUAUGACAACGCGGGCGAGGCCAAAAGUCAAAUAGCAGGGGCCAAAUGCAGUGAGCCAAAAAUAAUGAGCUCCAAAUGAAGUAGAACAAAAAGAAAACACAGUGUUAAUUAUUCAUAUUUCAUUAGCGAACAGCACAGAAACGCAGGUGAAGGCGAUACGGUGCGAUGCGAUGGGAUGCGAUGGCAAAAGGCAAAGGCGUGUGCCAUCUAAAAUUUAUAAAAAUCAAAAUAUCUAUAUGUUUAUCUUUGCAGAAUUGGUUUAUGGGAAUGGGCCCUGCAAAUCCCUUUUCAAGCCGCCCGAAAUUUACUUGGGCUGUCAAGGUAAUCAAUUAUUAACCAAAUAGUCAAGCCACUUGAUAAAAGUAAGCGGACCUGCGGAAAGAGUAAAACGAGGAAACCGAGGAGGAGCAGGAGGUCAGCUCCGCAGCGAGUAAAACAAAAGGGAAAUGUCGAAAAGGAAUCUGGAUACACAUCAUCAUUUGUCUUGGCGGGAAGAAGGCGAUGGCCAACCAAGGCGCAGUGGAGAGUGGCUCCUCCAUUUAGGCCAGGCACAUUGAUGAAUGAAGUGCGUAGUAGCUGAAAGGCCAAAAGGCAGGCCGCAUUAAAAAUGCACACGCAAUCAGAAAAUGCCUCACGACGGCCUCAUAAGCCGAAGUCUGAAGACUGAGUACACCCAGGAACACCAGAACAUGGCCCGGUCCCACUUUCAACUCCAUGCGCCGUACGCCAUACGCCAGGUGAUGGAUCAGCGGCCUCAGAUAAGACAGGCGAAGAAGGACAAGAAGCUAGAGCUGGAGGUGGAGGUGGAGGUGGGCCUGGAAGCCAGAUCCAGAGUCGGGGUAAUGAGUGUGUUGAAUUGGGGCUGCUGCCGUCAAAUGUUGUUAACCCCUUUUGAGCCGGGCCUCUCGCCGUGGAGAAACAAUUUAUAAUUUGUUUGAGGGCUUUCAGCGGCCUUUCAAGGCAAUUACCCCGCAUCCGCAUGGCGGACAGCAGGACCUGGCUUUACCUUUGGCAGCCAACACCUGCGCACCAUUUCGGCUGACUGGCUGUGAACUUUGGCACCCAUCCAUUGGCCAGCACUCGGGGAUUCGGGUUCACUUACUGGGUCAUCCUGUUGGCCAUCCUCCACAUUUUCACGCUGUGAUAUAUUGUGAAAACGCCGAGCAUGUUUCCUUUCACGGAACACCUUCAUUUGCCAUGGAUUCGUGUGUGCACUGAACAAAAUAUCCAUUUAUAUAUUGUAAAGAAUUAAUCUUAAGCUCAUAACUACUCAGAUACUCAGAUAGUUGGCUGUGGAAUCGUUUGAGGGUAAAUUAAAUUUUCACCAUGAGUAUCGUGAUGAUUUUCUGAAAGUGUACGACGCCAGUGAGUAAAAACGUGAAUGUUGACCCUUACGGAGAUAUGCACAGAUUUCCCAUUGACAGGAAAAGGACUUUCGCUCAUUCCCGACUCCUAAAGAAUAUGAAAUUGUGCUGCCUUGCUACUUAUGUACCAGUCAUUUGUGGAUCUGUAUUAAAAUUCAAGCUCUUUCAUGCUAUUAAUAUUCCAUUGCGUAUUCGCGCGAGAAUAUAUUCCAUUUUUAAUAACACGAAACUUUAUGAAAAUUUUAUAAAUACAAGGCAGCGAUGGCGUUGGCGUUGGCAAAGGCGAAGGCGAUGGGAUAGGAUGUGCAGGAGUAGCUGUUGCCAGAUUCCUUGACAGAAAAGAAAAGGAAAGCUCAAAAGUCAAAGCAAACAGGGGAAAACUCACUGGGGCCAAGGAACCGAACCAAGCUGAACUGAACUGAGCUGAACCGAACCCCAAGCUGGAUAAAUUGCGCAAUGAAUCCAUUUGGGUGAUGGUGAAAAGUCGGGUGCACAACCACCCACACAAACACACACACACCAACACGCACACUCGCCCGAAUGAAAACAAAGAGAGGAAGAAAAAAACCAUUGAAAUGUGAAUAUUAAAUAUACAAGUACAAGUUGCCAGUUAGUGUGCCCCCGCCAUUGUUUGUUGCAGCACCUUGCAGAUCCAGAAAAACACCCACUCCAAAAUCCAAUCCACCCACCACUUGACGGUAAACUCCCCGCGGCGUCAUUGUGCUUCCUGGCAGGCGGCAGUGGAAAAUACCAUUUGAUGGCAUUUAGAUGGGAUCGCUGAUUGAUGUUACUGGCUUCUCUGCGAAUUCCCAAAAGCCAGACCCAUGCUCGGUCAGUUGGAUUCCCUUGGCGGCGGAUGGCUGCUGGCGGUAGGCGAUUGGAGUACGGAACAUGUGGGGCUUCGCUUUGGUUUCUUGGGCGCUCAAGAAGUUGGCGAAAGGUAGCUCCACGGAAAUCUAGUUGACGGAAAGAGGUCUUAAGCUGGCCUUAGUCAGAAGUUGGCGUCGGAUGCGUGAGAACAGUGGAUUGCUAAGGUAGUCAGUCCAUUGACAAGGAAGAAUUUAGCCGGCAUAUUACGAGUUGGUUCUCAAAUACAAACAAAAAUCCACUUCAGUUGAGGAAGACAUUACUCAUUUACUUGACCCAUGACCCUGAUUGAACAUACCGUUACCGCCCAAAGUAUGUCAAUAUAAUAGAGCUAUGGAAUAGGGUCAGUUUGGUGGGUGAAACUCGUUCCCGGAUAACUAAAUCUCCAGCAAGCGGCGCUAUUAUUAUUACAUGGACAACAACCUAUAUAUCGCUAGCUUUAUGCAGUACUUUUACCAUGGCUCCA